UUAGACCUGGAUCACAUACAGCAGCUGAGAGGAGCCUCACAAGCAAGUCUUGUACUUCACCCAUGCUGUCCCCUAUAUUUAGCAAUCCCUCUUGAAGAACACUCAGCCACACUGUAUGACACACCUGGGUGGAGAAGACAGUGUAGCCCCUUUGAAGUUACUGCUUGGAUGAUUAAUGAUGAUGAAGCAACAACAAAGCCAAGACGGGCAUGUACACGAGCCUGUGCAUGCAAAACGGUCUCAAAGUCAUGCAACAGCACCACUACAACUUGCAAAUAAUGUCAGACUUGAAAUGAAGCUACAUGUCUCACAAGUGGCAACUUUUAAGUAACCCUGAAAGUAUUAAGAAGCAAUGAAGGCAAAUCUUAUUUUGUAUAACUUAAAUUUAAUUUUCUACUAAUAUUUUACAUGUUUAAGAAAAACAAGCUUUUAUUAAAAUUUGAACAUUCGAGCAAUAUACUUCAUUGACUGAUACAUUAAUUUAAAAAUUCUGAAAAUUGUUCAAGAUACCAACUUAUAUAAAGUCUACCAGGAUAUUAAAGUACUUACACAAA
rnacentral:antisense_RNA from 1 species